UAGGGAAUAUUGGACAAUGGGGGCAACCCUGAUCCAGCCAUGCCGCGUGAGUGAAGAAGUCCCUCGGGUUGUAAAGCUCUUUUGUCCGGAAAGAAAAGCAUUCGGUGAAUACCCGGAUGUUCUGACGGUACCGGAAGAAUAAGCACCGGCUAACUUCGUACCAGCAGCCGCGGUAAUACGAAGGGUGCAAGCGUUACUCGGAAUUACUGGGCGUAAAGCGUGCGUAGGUGGUUGUUUAAGUCUGAUGUGAAAGCCCUGGGCUCAACCUGGGAAUGGCAUUGGAAACUGGGCAGCUAGAGUGCGGUAGAGGGCAGUGGAAUUCCCGGUGUAGCAGUGAAAUGCGUAGAGAUCGGGAGGAACAUCUGUGGCGAAGGCGACUGCCUGGACCAGCACUGACACUGAGGCACGAAAGCGUGGGGAGCAAACA
rnacentral:rRNA from 1 species